UAUCUGUGUUUUUGUGUCUGUGUGUGUUUGUAUGUAUGUAUACACACACACACACACACACACACAAACACAGAUA